ACUCCUACGGGAGGCAGCAGUGGGGAAUAUUGCACAAUGGGCGCAAGCCUGAUGCAGCCAUGCCGCGUGUAUGAAGAAGGCCUUCGGGUUGUAAAGUACUUUCAGCAGUGAGGAAGGGUGGGUAUGUUAAUAGCAUACUCAUUGACGUUAGCUGCAGAAGAAGCACCGGCUAACUCCGUGCCAGCAGCCGCGGUAAUACGGAGGGUGCGAGCGUUAAUCGGAAUUACUGGGCGUAAAGCGCAUGCAGGUGGUUUGUUAAGUCAGAUGUGAAAGCCCGGGGCUCAAGCCUCGGAAUUGCAUUGAAACUUGGACAAA
rnacentral:rRNA from 1 species